rnacentral:rRNA from 1 species
GACGAACGCUGGCGGCGUGCUUAACACAUGCAAGUCGAACGAGGUCCACUGCGUAGCAAUACAAGGGAAGACCUAGUGGCGAACGGGUGCGUAACACGUGAGGAACUUGUCCCGGUCUCUGGGAUAACAGUUGGAAACGACUGCUAAUACCGGAUGACGUCGGAAUCUCGCAUGGGAUACUGACGAAAGGGUUACUGGAUCGGGAGAGCCUCGCGGCCUAUCAGCUUGUUGGUGAGGUAACGGCUCACCAAGGCAUCGACGGGUAGCUGGUCUGAGAGGAUGAUCAGCCACACUGGGACUGAGACACGGCCCAGGCUCCUACGGGAGGCAGCAGUGGGGAAUCUUGCGCAAUGGGCGAAAGCCUGACGCAGCAACGCCGCGUGCGGGAAGAAGGCCCUCGGGUUGUAAACCGCUUUCAGUAGGACGAAAAUGACGGUACCUGCAGAAGAAGGUGCGGCCAACUACGUGCCAGCAGCCGCGGUAAU